AAGGUGAUGAGCACUCUCGAACCUGACGGGCAGGAUGAUGAGCGGAUUCCUGGCUGAU
rnacentral:snoRNA from 1 species